CAGAGCUCGUCGCUGGGGAGAGGCUGCGUAUGGCGUUGUGAAGGGAGAGAUGGAGGAGGGGUUUGAGCAGCGCUGUGCAGGAAUGAACGGCUGGCAGGAGUCGGGCAGCGGUACUGCAGCUCCUCUGGCAGCUUUGCAGCUCAGUUGGGAAGCAGAAGAUGUGGAUGUGAAAGAAGAAGUCCGUUGCUGGGACGUUCCCCUGUUCUUCCCCCAGCUGUCCCCUUGCCUCAGCCUGGAUUCCCCUUGUGUUACUGUAGGAUUUCCUUCCAUCCCCCUAGCUGCCCCUUGCUUUCCACAAGGCUGCCCUUUCCUUUCUCAUGACAGCCCACCCAUCAUUCCCUCAGAGCCCCAAUGUCCCCCCCGGUGUUUCCCAGCAAGACCCCUAGAGACACCCUGUAGCCCCCCACAGAGCCCCAUAGCCCCUCAAG
ensembl:lncRNA